GAGUACAUGCGUACUUGCCAAAGGCCGCGACCUCAUAAACUUAAAUGAAUGACAAAAAGAUUUAUAAGUCCACUAAAAAAAAAUGGCGCUAGUCUGUUCAUGUCGCUCAGGCGUUGGAGGACUAUGAACCUCAUUACCUUGAAUUCAAACUACCAAUCACGAUUUUGAUGUGAGGACGAAUAGCUUUUAGGGUGCAUGUUGAAGUGUUGAAUCACGUGACUCUCGAGUGACGAAGAGUUCCGGUUCCAGUCUUGGAUCAUCAGAAUGAAUUCCUCUUCAACUUCCGGUAUGUCGGUCCUCUUGUUCCGGGGGAGGACGAUGAUCGGCCCCGCCACCCCGUCCGUCCGCAUGGUUCCUUGGUGGGAGUGGUACCAAUGGGUUCCGCGGGGUUCAGCUUUAUACCUGU